rnacentral:rRNA from 1 species
AUACGGAGGGUGCAAGCGUUGUUCGGAAUUACUGGGCGUAAAGCGCGCGUAGGCGGUUUGUUAUGUCAGAUGUGAAAGUCCACGGCUCAACCGUGGAAGUGCAUUUGAAACUGGCAAACUUGAGUACUGGAGGGGGUGGUGGAAUUCCCGGUGUAGAGGUGAAAUUCGUAGAUAUCGGGAGGAAUACCGGUGGCGAAGGCGACCACCUGGCCAGAUACUGACGCUGAGGUGCGAAAGCGUGGGGAGCAAACAGAAUUAGAAACCCCAGUAGUCC